AUGGAGACUCAUGUCCUUCCUCUGCAAGAAUCCCAGUACAAGGAUUUCAAAGGUAUAUCUACUCUGGAUGAUAGGAACAAAAGCGCCCAGCUCAGGAUAAUCAAGAGACUCCCAGUUUCAUCAAAAGGCAGCUUUCUUGAGCCAGGGGAUAAGAGAGGCUGGGGGGACCUGUUCAGCCUGGGACACAGGAAGCAGAAACAGGUGAACAUCCCUCUCCUCCUUGGCCUCCUGGCUCACUACACAGGCACCGUGGCCUUCUAUGUAGUAACUCAGCCAUCUUCAGUAUCAGUGGCCUUGCGACAGAUGGCCAGGAUCACCUGCUCUAGAGAUAAAUUGGGAAAUAAAUAUGCCUACUGGUACCAGCAGAGACCAGGUCAGGCCCCUGUGCUGGUCAUCUACAGUGAUAGAGACCGGCCCUCAGGGAUCCCUGAGAGAUUCUCUGGCUCCAACUCGGGAAAUACGGCUACCCUGACUAUCAGUAGAGCCCAAGCCAGGGAUGAGGCUGACAAUUACUGUGCCACCUCUGAUGGUAGUGAAACCAACUUUCAUUAA